UAGAAAUGGUUGGAUUAUCUUGAUGAUGAAUAGUAAUUCAUUUUAUUAAGAGUUUUCUUAUUAUUAUUUUAUUUAAUUUAUUAUUUGUUUUGUGUGUGUUAUUAAAAAUAUAUUUUAUAAGUAUAUAAUAUUAAUAAUUUGUAGGAAAUAAUUUUAUGUAAAUGUGUUAUCAAUUUUGCUUCUGAGAUGUGUUCGCUUUCGUAUCUCGACGAUGAAUAAAAUGAAAUGUACACAGAGGAUAUAAAUUGUACGAGACUAGCCACGUUUGACGAUCCCGCUCAGUUGACUCACGAUGACGUGCAAAAGCCAACGACAACUGAAGUCGAAGAAAUGCUUGCGAGUACGAGAAUGCGCUCAGGUAUGCGGCAGUCGCGCGUUGAAAACAUUCGCAACAUGGAAGUCGACCGACUGAAGAAAGAUUGUUAUUUUAAUCUGUUUAACUCUCUAUCUUAACGUCACUCAAUUCAAAAAUUACGCAUAUAUAUCGUACGUUUAGACGGAACAAUAAUACAACUACAAAAAUGUUAGAAGAUGAUUGGAAAAUAAAAAUGUUAUUAAUGAAAUAAGAA